rnacentral:tRNA from 1 species
GCCCCGGUAGCUCAGCCCGGUUGGAGCGCCCGCCUCGUAAGCGGGAGGUCCCGGGUUCGAAUCCCGGCCGGGGCU